rnacentral:rRNA from 1 species
GAUGAACGCUGGCGGCGUGCCUAAUACAUGCAAGUCGAGCGAACAGACGAGGAGCUUGCUCCUCUGACGUUAGCGGCGGACGGGUGAGUAACACGUGGAUAACCUACCUAUAAGACUGGGAUAACUUCGGGAAACCGGAGCUAAUACCGGAUAAUAUAUUGAACCGCAUGGUUCAAUAGUGAAAGACGGUUUUGCUGUCACUUAUAGAUGGAUCCGCGCCGCAUUAGCUAGUUGGUAAGGUAACGGCUUACCAAGGCAACGAUGCGUAGCCGACCUGAGAGGGUGAUCGGCCACCCUGGAACUGAGACCCGGUCCCGACUCCUACGGGAGGCAGCAGUAGGGAAUCUUCCGCAAUGGGCGAAAGCCCGACGGAGCAACGCCGCGUGAGUGAUGAAGGUCUUCGGAUCGUAAAACUCUGUUAUUAGGGAAGAACAAAUGUGUAAGUAACUAUGCACGUCUUGACGGUACCUAAUCAGAAAGCCACGGCUAACUACGUG